UCACCAUGUGCUGUUGUGUUUUUGUUUCUCCUUCAUCUUCAAAGUUGUAAAGGAGCAAGUCUACUCCUAAGAAAAUGAAGAACAAUAUAAGAAAUUGUUAAUAAUUUUUGUCACAAAUGCCUUUCCUCAAACACUUCUUAACCAUCACAAGUCACUAUUAUAGUACAUAUGAGGUAACGAACCUUAGACCUUUUCUCAAUUGCUAUGGACAAUUGACAAACAGGAAAAGAAAAAAAAAUUCGAAUAACGUAGAACUAACCUCAAUAGUUUUCCUUUGAAAAACAUCUCGUCCCAAUCUCAAAUAUAUUGAUUUCUUCAGAUUCAUCUAAUCUUUCUAUUAAAUAGAUCAACAUCACACGAUGUUAAUACAGUAAACAAAAAGUUCAACUUUUUAAUUAAACAUUCACUUACAAGACCAACUAAAAUCUUAUAAUAUUAACAUAGCAUAUUCAGGAACUCGACGGGAAAAUCUUGCUCCAAUCUUUUUAAGGUCACCAACCUACGGAGCAAUUUGUCACGUCCCGCCACAUCACAGUGAAAUUUUGUGUCCGAAUACGGGCGGAAGGGUCUAGAGUUGUGGAGAGGUUUCCGGAAGACUCUAGAACCCCUUAGAUUAUUCAAGAAGGCUAGAAAGUUCCCUAGAAUUCUCUACAAUAACUUAGAAUUCUCUAGAAUAAUUUAAAAGGCAAUGGAAGGUCCUAGAUAGUUUCCAAGAAAGCCUUA
rnacentral:lncRNA from 1 species